GGAAUGAUUGGGCGUAAAGCGUCUGUAGGUGGCUCGUAAAGUCUAAUGUCAAAUACCAGGGCUCAACCUUGGAUCGGCAUUAGAGCACUCACGAGCUUGAGUACGGUAGAGGCAGAGGGAACUCCAAGUGGAGCGGUGAAAUGCGUAGAGAUUUGGAAGAACACCAGAGGCGAAGGCGCUCUGCUGGGCCGAAACUGACACUGAGAGACGAAAGCUGGGGGAGCGAAUAGGAUUAGAUACCCUAGUAGUCCCAGCCGUAAACUAUGGAGACUAAGUGCUGCCGCAAGCAGUGCUGUAGCUAACGCGUUAAGUCUCCCGCC
rnacentral:ncRNA from 1 species